rnacentral:rRNA from 1 species
GACGAACGCUGGCGGCGUGCUUAACACAUGCAAGUCGAGCGGUAAGGCCUUUCGGGGUACACGAGCGGCGAACGGGUGAGUAACACGUGGGUGAUCUGCCCUGCACUUCGGGAUAAGCCUGGGAAACUGGGUCUAAUACCGGAUAUGACCUCCUAUCGCAUGGUGGGUGGUGGAAAGAUUUAUCGGUGCAGGAUGGGCCCGCGGCCUAUCAGCUUGUUGGUGGGGUAAUGGCCUACCAAGGCGACGACGGGUAGCCGGCCUGAGAGGGUGACCGGCCACACUGGGACUGAGACACGGCCCAGACUCCUACGGGAGGCAGCAGUGGGGAAUAUUGCACAAUGGGCGAAAGCCUGAUGCAGCGACGCCGCGUGAGGGAUGACGGCCUUCGGGUUGUAAACCUCUUUCAGCAGGGACGAAGCGCAAGUGACGGUACCUGCAGAAGAAGCACCGGCUAACUACGUG